rnacentral:tRNA from 1 species
GCCCAUUUUGUUAUGAGUAUUUAACAACUUGUCUUUCUAAUAGUAAAAGAAUAAUUUCUAAAAAAUGA